rnacentral:pre_miRNA from 1 species
UCUCUCACUCCCUGGUCCUGGUCCUGGUCCUUUUCCUUUCUCCUUUUCUUUCUGUUUCUUGGAAAACAAAGAGUCUCUCCAAGAAACAGAAGAGAGGGAUUCAAGGAAAGGGAGAAGUCUGUCUUGUAGAGAUUAGAGU